AUACUUACCUGGCAAGGGAGAUACCAUGAUCGUGAAGGUAGUUUUCCCAGGUCGAGGCUUGUCCAUUGCACUCUGGAUGUACUGACCCCUGUGAUUUCCCCAAAUGUGGGAAACUCAACUGCAUACUAUGUGGUAGUGGGGGACUGCAUUCACACUCUCUCCUA